CUGGCUUUUGAUGGUAAUUACAAGCCUUGCCUUUCUUUUUUUAUAACCUCUACAUCUCACUAUAUAGCAAUGCCAGAACUUAAAAGCAUACAUAAGGGAUAAUAUGACUCUGUUUGCUUUGGGUCUGGAAUUGAGUGAUUUAUUUUCAGCCUAGAUUUAACGAUCCAAACAGAUUGACUUCCUAUCCAUUGUGAGCUACUUAUAGCAACAUUUUCCAUAAGCCAAUAAGCUUGUAAUCUAAAACUAAGACAAUUUUCUCAUUAUAUUAUUAUUUUUGCAGGGCAAAUUCUGAUUUGUGUUUUCAGCUUCAAUGGCUGUUUAUCAGGGAAUAAGAGAACCCAGGCCUUUUAAACACCAUGGAAUCUCUCUGGGAGAUGAAGAUCUUACAAAUUCUCCAGACACGAAAAAAAUAAUCAUGGAACAUGAUGGACAUCAGGUGAUAAAAAUGAAAUACAGAGACUGAACUGAGUAAAUUAAAUAGAAGCUAAUGAAGAAAUGCCUGGAAAUAAAAGUCAGAGAGUCAAGCA
rnacentral:lncRNA from 1 species